ACGUGAGGCAGUCUGUCUUUAAGUAGGGACAGGUUACUCUAAAGAAAUAAGUCCUAGAUAGCUUUCACUUCAACUUAAAUACCCUUGU
rnacentral:pre_miRNA from 1 species